rnacentral:rRNA from 1 species
GUGCCAGCCGCCGCGGUAAGACAGAGGAUGCGAGCGUUAUCCGGAAUUACUGGGCGUAAAGGGCGUCUAGGCGGUUCGGUAAGUCGUUUGUGAAAUCCCUCGGCUCAACCGAGGAUGGUCUUGCGAUACUGCCGGGCUUGGGUGCAGGAGAGGAGGGUGGAACUCACAGAGUAGCGGUGGAAUGCGUAGAUACUGUGAGGUACCCCGAUGGCGAAGGCAACCCUCUGGCCUGCUACCGACGCUGAAGCGCGAAAGCGUGGGGAGCAAAGGGGAUUAGAAACCCUCGUAGUCC